UCGAUCCAGGGGCCGCCAAGCGGCGGGGCGGGCGCUCUUCCGGCAUCCGCCGCCGCCCCCUUGCCACCACCUGCCAAGCCCCUGCAGCCUAGAAACCCGCCACCCGAGAGGCACUACUGCUCAGUCCAGACAGUAGCCGCCGCUGCCGCCGUUGCCGCCGCUGGCUAAGGAAGAGCCAUAUUACCGCAGUGCAACCCCUCCACCCCGCCGAGACCCGGAGCGCUCAUUGGCUUAGCCCUCAAGGAGGCGGGACCCAACGGCAGAAAAGGGGCGUGCUAUUGGGUAGAAGAGAGCCACCACGCAGGAUGCACUGGGACCUGAGAACCGUCGGGCAGUCCCACGAGCUCUUUCAUGACCAGCUCCAACCGACAAGUACACGCCCCUUCUCGCACUCCACUAGCUAGUAAGCUGAGCUACAAGGUGUGCCAGGCACC
rnacentral:antisense_RNA from 1 species